GGGUUAGUGUGUGCAGGGGCAGGGGAGGGUGCAACAGCUCCCCAAGGAACUAGGCGCUGGAGCCGCCUUCGGGGUGGGAUUUUUGACCUCAGGGUUUCUGUCUACAGGCGCUCAGAAAACGUUUCAAGAACCGGUAAAUAAUGAACCACGAGCCCUAGUUCCUCAACCGCCGGCCUUUCUUGUCUUGGAACGAGCUGGGGCUCACGAUGAGAAAGCCAGAGGCGGCCUUGCACUGCCCCCUCCCACCGUAGCCCUAAGGAACCCAGACGUCCCAUUUCUGAAACCAGCGGGAAAACCCCGAAGGGAACACCGGACAAAAUUCCCCGGCCGGUGUCAACCCCUCUCCCUUCCCCUCUUCUCUCUUCUUUGCUUCCCUCUCUGUUACCCCUCAUGUACCACCUAAAGUCUCUAAAGGCAAAGCAGAACGGAAAUAAAA
rnacentral:lncRNA from 1 species